UACGUAGGUGACCAGCAUUGUCCGGAUUUACUGGGCGUAAAGAGCGCGCAGGCGGUCGUUCAAGUCGAGUGUGAAAGCCCCCGGCUCAACUGGGGAGGGUCAUUCGAUACUGAUCGACUUGAAGGCAGGAGAGGGAAGUGGAAUUCCCGGUGUAGUGGUGAAAUGCGUAGAUAUCGGGAGGAACACCAGUGGCGAAGGCGACUUCCUGGCCUGUUCUUGACGCUGAGGCGCGAAAGCUAGGGGAGCAAACGGG
rnacentral:rRNA from 1 species